rnacentral:lncRNA from 1 species
GUGCGCAGGCGCUUGCGGCUUCGCGGGGCUGACCGUGCGCUUCGCCUGCGGGGUCGUGCUGGGGCGGCGGGUACGCUAUUUGAAGAACAGGUUUCCAUGCUCUUAGAGGAGCAUCAGAAAAUGAACAAACCCCAGGUGAGUUCCUUUUUUAGAUUUUUUCAUUUUCCAGGGGAUUUGCUGGCUUUUAUAAAAUUCGUUUAUUCAGAUGGACAUUUAAAAAGCUACUUCAGGAUAAAUGAGGAGUGAGAGGCAACUGAGCAGUAGGCAGAGGUGGCUGCGGAACCCUGUGGUCAUGUGAUCCUACAAUCGUCAAAGGAGAGGGGCAGAUUUGUCUUUUUUUUUUUGACACAGAGUCUUGCUCUGUUGCCCAGGCUGGAAUGCAGUGGCGUGAUCUUGGCUCACUGCAACCUUCACCUCUGGGGUUCAACCAAAUCUCAUGCCUCGGUCUCCCGACUAGCUGGGACUACAGGUGCUCACCACCACACCCGGCUAAUUUUUGUAUUUUUUAUAGAGAUGGUUUCGCCAUGUUGGCCAGUCUGGUCUCGAGC